UACGUAGGGUGCAAGCGUUAAUCGGAAUUACUGGGCGUAAAGCGUGCGCAGGCGGUUAUGUAAGACAGAUGUGAAAUGCCCGGGCUUAACCUGGGAACUGCAUUUGUGACUGCAUGGCUAGAGUUUGGCAGAGGGGGGUAGAAUUCCACGUGUAGCAGUGAAAUUCGUAGAUAUUGGGAAGAACACCGGUGGCGAAGGCGGCGCUCUGGACCGAUACUGACGCUGAGG
rnacentral:rRNA from 1 species